GACGAACGCUGGCGGCGUGCUUAACACAUGCAAGUCGAACGGAAAGGCCCUGCUUUUGUGGGGUGCUCGAGUGGCGAACGGGUGAGUAACACGUGAGUAACCUGCCCUUGACUUUGGGAUAACUUCAGGGAACUGGGGCUAAUACCGGAUAGGAGCUCCUGCUGCAUGGUGGGGGUUGGAAAGUUUCGGCGGUUGUGGAUGGACUCGCGGGUUAUCAGCUUGUUGGUGGGGUAGUGGAUUACCAAGGCUUUGACGGGUAGCCGGCCUGAGAGGGUGACCGGGCACAUUGGGACUGAGAGACGGCGCAGACUCCUACGGGAGGCAGUAGUGGGGAGCAUUGCACAAUGGGCGGAAGCCUGAGGCAGCAAUGCUGCGUGCGGAAUGACGGCUUACGGGUUGUAAACCGCUUUCGCCGGUGACGAAGCGUGAGUGACGGUAAUGGGUAAAGAAGCACCGGCUAACUACGUG
rnacentral:rRNA from 1 species